UCCUAGAAAAAUCAAACCGCCUCCCCGGCUCCUCCCCUCCAAAAAAAAUAAGUUAGGUCACGUACUCCUGGAGUCCUGGUUGGUCAUAAAGGUUAGGUGUUGAUAAUUUGCAUACUUUUCGUGAUCUAAUAAUCUGAUGGAGGGAAUAUGUAUUGUGUAUUUAUGUAGUGAAGUCGCAACAGCUAACAAAUCGUCUUCACGCCGCGUCGCCGCUAAUCAAUUAAGGUAACUAGGUAAGGAAAUAAACAAACCUUCAAAUCAAAUGUUCUACGCUUAGCUGUCCAUAUCUAAUGGUCAUUCUUUCCCUUGGAAAAGAACCGGGAAAACCCCCGUCCAUGAUUUGACGACGGAGAAGACUUUGGAGGUCGUGACUUUUGAGAUUUAGGGGUGGUUGGUGAUUUUGGAAUUGGGACUGAUUCAGUGUCGGAUGGAAUGUAAU
rnacentral:lncRNA from 1 species